rnacentral:rRNA from 1 species
CCGCCCUUCAGUGCUGCAGCUAACGCAUUAAGCACUCCGCCUGGGGAGUACGACCGCAAGGUUGAAACUCAAAGGAAUUGACGGGGGCCCGCACAAGCGGUGGAGCAUGUGGUUUAAUUCGAAGCUACGCGAAGAACCUUACCAGGUCUUGACAUCUUCUGCCAAUCUUAGAGAUAAGACGUUCCCUUCGGGGACAGAAUGACAGGUGGUGCAUGGUUGUCGUCAGCUCGUGUCGUGAGAUGUUGGGUUAAGUCCCGCAACGAGCGCAACCCUUAUUAUCAGUUGCCAGCAUUCAGUUGGGCACUCUGGUGAGACUGCCGGUGACAAACCGGAGGAAGGUGGGGAUGACGUCAAAUCAUCAUGCCCCUUAUGACCUGGGCUACACACGUGCUACAAUGGACGGUACAACGAGUCGCGAAGUCGUGAGGCUAAGCUAAUCUCUUAAAGCCGUUCUCAGUUCGGAUUGUAGGCUGCAACUCGCCUACAUGAAGUUGGAAUCGCUAGUAAUCGCGGAUCAGCAUGCCGCGGUGAAUACGUUCCCGGGCCUUGUACACACCGCCCGUCACACCAUGAGAGUUUGUAACACCCAAAGCCGGUGAGAUAACCUUCGGGAG